CACCGAAGCCUGCGGCAGAUUUGCUGUUAGGCAAUGUGGUGUUUGGGUCGACUCGCGGGAUUGCCACUCCAUUCGAAGUCCAGCAUUGAGUAUGGUCACUGGAUUUGGCCCAGAGAGGGUGAAAGGCCCGUACGGGUGGAGGUUCAGACAUGUAAGGCAGUUCCCCAGGUCGGCCUUAGAGUCGGGUUGUUUGAGAAUGCAGCCCAAAGCGGGUGGUAAACUCCAUCCAAGGCUAAAUACAAGCACGAGUCCGAUAGCGAACAAGUACCGUGAGGGAAAGUUGAAAAGUACUUUGAAGAGAGAGUAAACAGUACGUGAAACCGCAUGCAGGUAAACGGGUGGCGUCAAGCUGCAAGCCCAGAGGAUUCAGCUGGCUAGGGUGUUGUGUAUGCGCCUGGCGCAUCUAUCAGCCGGAGUAAGAUGUGAUAGCCCACUGGGAGACGGUGGAGCCGGCCGCAAGGUUGGCGUAUGCGUACCGGGUGGAAGCCGGAGCAUGCUAUUCGUCUGUAGGGCUGCCUAGUCAGUGCACUUUCUCUGUGGUGAACACCACGACCGGUGGAAUUGCCAGUCUGCUGUGGCCAAGUCACGUUCAGUGGGUUCUUGUAGCCAACUGGGCGGGAUCACAGGCAAAUUCAGUAAACGGCGUAGGGGUGUCUCGGCAUCUCUGCGUGUUAUCGGCUACUGGUUGUCAACGGGCCUGCCUCGCGAUUGUUGUAACCGUCGUGGGGUGGUCUGGUGGGCCAUGGUGGUAAGAAUAACUGUGCAAGGCACCGGGUUUAUCGGCCUCAAAUGCAUCCCGCGCCCAUGUUACAAGUGGUUAAGCGGCGGGGUGCCAUUGCAGUCUGCCUGUUGUUGGGUCUGAUUGUCGUGUCGCCUGCGCAAAGUGGGCUCGGCAGUGGCCUGAUGCAGGAUGGGUUGUGGAUGGUGCUCCCUGUGUGGGGUGUGGUGGGCCAAAUAGUCAGUGGUGUAGUGGUAGACGAGCUACCCGACCCGUCUUGAAACACGGACCAAGGAGUUUAACAUGUAUGCAAGUCAAGGGGUCCUACGAAACCCAAAGGCGCAGUGAAAGUAAAGCUUCGACUUGUUCUCGGAGUGAGGUGAGAUCCUGCUGUUACUCGCAUCAGCCUAGCUUUGUCAGCAUCAGGCUAAGAGCGGUGGGCGCAUCACCGGCCCGUCCCAUGAUGUGGUCAUUGGA
rnacentral:rRNA from 1 species